AUAAAGACUGUCAUAAAAAGGACAAUAAAACUGAAAUCAGUCCAUCUCAACCCGAUGAUAAAGACAAUCUGGGCAGUACACAAUCGGAUUGUGAAGCAUUGGAAACCAGUCCAUCUCAAUCAGAUGAAAAAAAUCUGGGCGAUUCACAACAGAAAUGUUCAGGUCAAGGACAAAGCCAAUCAUCAAACACAUCAAAUAAGGAUACAAAGAAAUCUCGGCAAUCUCAAGUAAAGAAGCUGAAAGGGGAAAAAC